rnacentral:rRNA from 1 species
AUGUCAGUUUCAGAUACGAACCUUAAUAAUGGAGAAAAGCCCAUCUUCGAAAUUACCGAUGCGGAACUCGCCGAAAAGCAUGGUCAUAUGAAGUUAGUAUGCUCACAGACAAGGUUCGGAAAAACCAUGAAACUGUUGUCACAAGACCAUAGAAAGUACAUCAUAUCAGAAACCAGUCUUGGCGGUCUGACCCAGAUGCAUGAAGUGACUCUACGGCGCAUAAUGUUGGACGUGCAAGGUAUAUUUGGUAUUCCGAUAGAAGGGGAGGAUAUAGAGCCACAUCUGGAAAUGCAAACCGACACAGAAUUGUUUACCGCCUAUGCAAACAAUGGGCAAAUUUUGAUUUCUGACCUUGAAACGGCGAUCCGAGCUUCCAAAGCCCCAGACGGCGAUUUCCUGAGGCGGUUCAUUCUGUAUGCAAUUGGUAGUGUUCUAGCACCAACAGCACAACAUUAUGUGGACUCGAAAUUUCUCAACCUCGUUACAGAUCUUGAAAACCUUCGGAAAUUUAACUGGGGAUGUUUCACACUUAAUCACUUCUUCAAGUCCGUUCACAAGUUUAGAAAUCGAGAUCACGUAAAUCUACAAGGAAAUCUAAUUCUGCUCCAGUAUUGGUACUGGGAGCACGUGCGUAGUGGCCGAUUAAUGUAUGCUUCUAGACCACCUCCAUUGAUCGCACGAUGGGACGAAAUGAUGGCUACUUUAAGAAGCGAUGCUUACGAGAAAGGAGGUCUUCAUAACGGGCUGGUUGUCAUGGAAAUUUCUGCUCCUCAACGACCGUCCAAGAAUUCUAAUAAUUUUCCAAGAAAAAAAGAUGAACAUGUGCAUCAACAUGAUUCGUAUCGAGCACCAUCACAAGGACAACAAUUUAGUAGCCAGCAAAUUGAAAUGGUAGUUGAAGUCAUGAAUGCACGCAUUGCUGAUCAUGAAAAGAAGACUCUAGGUGAAGACUUGAUCGACAUGAAGACUAAAACUGUCACUAAUCCUAGGUUGUCGAAGGCCGAGGACGAAAUUAAAGACUUAAGGAGGGAACUCCAUAACUUAAAAUAUGAAUUUACAAGGAACCGACAAUCACUGUCACAGAAAGGAGGCGUGCAGUUCACGGAUGAGGACAUAGAGACAGCCGUUUACAUCCGCGGAACAUAUGACCCUGUUGAAAUAGCUAGAAUCGGAGACAUUUCCCUCACAGCAGAAAAUCUGAAGCGAAAUUUGGACGAGAAAUACAUUUAUGGUGAUACUCUGAACUCCAUGAAUUAUCAUUGCGACAAGACCAAGGAAGAUUAUCUUGUGGACUGGAUUCAGUUAUGCAUUGACGAAGCUGUCAAGAAAGGGUUGAUAUCACCAGCUAAUAACAUCAAUUUUGCCAAAUGGACCAAAAAAUGCUAUGAGAACAUACCACAACAGUCCGAUGGGACUUCCUGUGCGGUUUGGACAUUGCAGUACAUGUUGUCAUGGAACGGGGAUGAAAUGACCGAUAUUUUGAACCAGAAGGAGGUGUACGAUGCCCAGCAAGCAGUUCUACCUGAUGCUUCAGAAGAGGACGUACAAUUAGUCAACAAUCCCGAUGGUUCCAACGAACCUGACACAUCCAACUCCCAGAAGGAUACCGGUGCAGCCAAUUCCCCCAAAAGGAAGAGAGCACGUGGACGCCCGAGAAAGCUAGUUGAUCCCGAGCAAGCAGCAAAAACAAAGAGUCUUAAAGAACUGAAACUUAAAUUUGACAGCAAGACCAUAGCCAACCAAGUGUCUUCGUUACCAUCAUGGUCACGCAGAGAGCAUAAACCAGCACCAGCUUUAUUGAGCCCAUUCAAGCACAAAUAG